GCGCCGCUGGUGUAGUGGUAUCAUGCAAGAUUCCCAUUCUUGCGACCCGGGUUUGAUUCCCGGGCGGCUGACGUGCU
rnacentral:tRNA from 1 species